UGAGGAAUAUUGGUCAAUGGACGAGAGUCUGAACCAGCCAAGUAGCGUGCAGGAUGACGGCCCUAUGGGUUGUAAACUGCUUUUGUUUGGGAAUAAUCGACAUUACGUGUAAUGUUUUGCAUGUACCAUUCGAAUAAGGACCGGCUAAUUCCGUGCCAGCAGCCGCGGUAAUACGGAAGGUCCAGGCGUUAUCCGGAUUUAUUGGGUUUAAAGGGAGUGUAGGCGGUUGGUUAAGCGUGUUGUGAAAUGUAGAUGCUCAACAUCUGACUUGCAGCGCGAACUGGCUGACUUGAGUACACACAACGUAGGCGGAAUUCAUGGUGUAGCGGUGAAAUGCUUAGAUAUUGGGAGGAACACCAGUAGCGAAGGCGGCUUUCUGGACUGCAACUGACACUGAGGCACGAAAGCGUGGGUAGCAAACAGG
rnacentral:rRNA from 1 species